CCUACGGGAGGCAGCAGUGAGGAAUAUUGGUCAAUGGACGAGAGGCUGACCCAGCCAAGUCGCGUGAAGGAUGACUGCCCUAUGGGUUGUAAACUUCUUUUAUAUGGGAAUAAAAUGUUCCACGUGUGGGAUUUUGUAUGUACCAUAUGAAUAAGGAUCGGCUAACUCCGUGCCAGCAGCCGCGGUAAUACGGAGGAUCCGAGCGUUAUCCGGAUUUGUUGGGUUUAAAGGGAGCGUAGGUGGAUUGUUAAGUCAGUUGUGAAAGUUUUCGGCUCAACCGCAAAAUUGCAUUUGAAACUGGUAGUCUUGAGUACAGUAGAGGUGGGCGGAAUUCGUGGUGUAGCGGUGACAUGCUUAGAUAUCACGAAGAACUCCGAUUGCGAAGGCAGUUCACUGGACUGCAACUGACACUGAGGCUCGAAAGUGUGGGUAUCAAACAGGAUUAGAUACCCUUGUAGUC
rnacentral:rRNA from 1 species